UGCAGGCAUCCAUAAAGGGACAGGUGCUGGGGUAUGAAUGGGAUGAGAUCCAACAACUCCAAAGGGCUGACCCCAAUAUUGGCCCUGCCUUGUGUGCUGUUAAGGCAAACGUCAAGCCAGUAGGAGAGCAGGUGCGAAGCAUGGGGCCGGUGUUGAGGAAGCUAGUUUAUCAAUGGGACCGGCUGAGGGUCCGACAAGGGGUUUUAUUUCGCUGCAUAUGGGAUCCCAGGGAUGGGGAGGAAGUCGGGCAAUUAGUUGUGCCAGAAUCCCUGUGUAAGCAUGUGUUUGAAACCCAACAUGAUCACAAGGGCCAUUUUGGUGAGAGGAGCACACUUGAGAUGAUAAGGCGAAGUUAUU